UACGGAGGAUCCGAGCGUUAUCCGGAUUUAUUGGGUUUAAAGGGAGCGUAGGUGGAUUGUUAAGUCAGCGGUAAAAAUGCGGUGCUCAACGCCGUACAGCCGUUGAAACUGGCAGUCUUGAGUGGGCGAGAAGUAUGCGGAAUGCGUGGUGUAGCGGUGAAAUGCAUAGAUAUCACGCAGAACCCCGAUUGCGAAGGCAGCAUACCGGCGCCCGACUGACGCUGAAGCACGAAAGCGUGGGUAUCGAACAGG
rnacentral:rRNA from 1 species